rnacentral:rRNA from 1 species
AGGACGAACGCUGGCGGCGUGCUUAACACAUGCAAGUCGAACGGACGAUCGAGGCUUGCUUCGAUCGUUAGUGGCGGACGGCUGAGUAACGCGUAGGUGACCUGUCCCGAAGUGGGGAAUAACUGCCCGAAAGGGUGGCUAAUACCGCAUGUGGUGGUGUGUUCAAUCACACCAGUAAAGCCGCAAGGCGCUUCGGGAGGGGCCUGCGUCCGAUUAGCUCGUUGGUGGGGUAACGGCUCACCAAGGCGACGAUCGGUAGGUGGUCUGAGAGGACGAUCACCCAGACUGGGACUGAGACACGGCCCAGACUCCUACGGGAGGCAGCAGUGGGGAAUCUUGCGCAAAUGCGGGAAACCGUGACGCAGCGACGCCGCGUGGGGGAAGAAGGCCUUCGGGUUGUAAACCUCUGUCGAAUGGGACGAAAGCCCGCGAUUUAACAAACGCGGGACUGACGGUACCGUUAAAGGAAGCCACGGCUAACUCUGUGCCAGCAGCCGC